AUGGACUGGGAGGGAACCCUACAGGAGCUAGGAGGCCAGUGUCUCCUAAUUGGCUUUAUUGAUAUGGCCAAACCUCUAUAAGUAAAGAAACGCAGGUAUCAUUCUCUCUCCUGGCUUCUGUGCUUCAUUCUAGCUUCCUUUCCCAAUUCUGUCUGUGUUGUUGCUCUGUGACUAACAGGUUCCUCUGCUGUUAGACCUAGCCCUCUUAACAAGCCCCAUGGCCAAUUCCAAAAGAAACCAUCAACAAAGUAGUAACCUGCUACAUUGUCAUUUAAAGGUCAAAAUGUAGACUUCUCAGCUCCUCCACACCAUGUCUGCCUGAAUGUUGCCUGCUUCCCACCAUGAAGAUAGUGGACUGGACCCCUGAACCUGUAAGCCAACCCCAAUUAAACAUUAUCCUUUGCAAAAGUUUCCUUGGUCAUGGUGUCUCUUCACAACAUUGGAAACUCAAAGACACAUACUGCCUUCUUUCUUUCUUUCUUUCUUUCUUUCUUUCUUUCUUUC
rnacentral:lncRNA from 1 species